rnacentral:rRNA from 1 species
GACGAACGCUGGCGGCGUGCUUAACACAUGCAAGUCGAACGGAAAGGCCCUGCUUUUGUGGGGUGCUCGAGUGGCGAACGGGUGAGUAACACGUGAGUAACCUGCCCUUGACUUUGGGAUAACUUCAGGAAACUGGGGCUAAUACCGGAUAGGAGCUCCUGCUGCAUGGUGGGGGUUGGAAAGUUUCGGCGGUUGGGGAUGGACUCGCGGCUUAUCAGCUUGUUGGUGGGGUAGUGGCUUACCAAGGCUUUGACGGGUAGCCGGCCUGAGAGGGUGACCGGCCACAUUGGACUUGAGAUCCGGCCCAGACUCUUCCGGGAGCAGGAGGUGGGGAAUAUUGACCAAUGGCGGAAGCCUGAUGCAGCAACGCCGCGUGCGGGAUGACGGCCUUCGGGUUGUAAACCGCUUUCGCCUGUGACGAAGCGUGAGUGACGGUAAUGGGUAAAGAAGCACCGGCUAACUACGUG